UACAUGGGGUGCAAACGUUGCUCGGAAUUAUUGGGCGUAAAGCGCGCGUAGGCGGUUACUUAAGUCGGAUGUGAAAGCCCUCGGCUUAACUGAGGAAGUGCAUCCGAAACUGAGUAGCUAGAGUACGAAAGAGGGUCGCGGAAUUCCCGGUGUAGAGGUGAAAUUCGUAGAUAUCGGGAGGAACACCGGUGGCGAAGGCGGCGACCUGGGUCGAGACUGACGCUGAUGCGCGAAAGCGUGGGGAGCAACAGG
rnacentral:rRNA from 1 species